GCAACUAGGUCAUUUCCUAUUCGAAGAAAAAGGAGGCAAUGCCAUUUGGCAAAUUCGAGGUAGAGAGACAAAUCAAUUCAUGACGUUGCGAGGAGACAGAGUUCAAACGGGAUCUACUGACAUGACAGGGCACUGAGGGGAAGGAAAGGUUGAGGGAAACGCAGAAACUAUUUCCAUAGCAGAAGGCUUUUUCACUGAAGUCGAAGCUGGCUUUGUACUGACGCCUAGCAAGGGAAACUCCCUGGACACUCACAGACAUUCAUCUGGUUACUUGCAGGAACAUUCACCUUUCCAGGUGACACCCUCUGCCCUGCAGUCUUUAUUUUCCCUGGAUAGCCCAGCGUCAUUUAAAUACUCAGAAGCCUCUCUGCCUUUCAAUGCUGUCGUCUGCAAAGAGAUGAACGGACCUGUGCGGACGCUGGCCAGUGACGCCGGGAUCUCCAGGUCCUUCCAAAGUGCCUACAGAAAGCUUUGGCCCGUCCUUGAAAAAUUGCUAAUGGGUUUGGAGAUCCAAGAUGGAGAUGACUAGCAAUCAAGCUCAAAGGUGGAAAAGUCACGUCGAGGCAGAUGAGCAGAUGAGGGGGCCUCGAGAAGAAGAGAGGGGCACGGAGAGCCCAGCCAGCAGGAACAAUUUCCCCAGUAGGCAGCACUGCCCCACAUCAGAGUCGAGGAAAGCAAAGCUCAGACUGGAUAAAAGAAACCUGCAAACACGGUCAGUGCCACUGCAUGUGGGCUCAGAGCACGUGAACCUCCUUCCCUGUGUGUGCCUGUGAAAUGGGUUUACUGCUGUAACUCUCAGGGACACUGUGAAGAUCAAACGAGAAAAUAGAAAUAAACAUGAUUUAUAAACCAUAAAGUACUGAUACCAAAAGAGGGGCGAGCUCAGCAUUGCGAAUGUGCUGAUACUAAACGGUUCACUUUAAGAUGGUUUUAUGGUGUGUGAAUUUCACUUGAAUAAAUUGUUUUAAUGGAGUUCA